UACAGAGGUGCCAAGCGUUAGGCGGAAUCACUGGGCUUAAAGCGCGCGUAGGCGGAUGUUUAAGUGUCUUGUGAAAUCCCACGGCUCAACCGUGGAACUGCUGGGCAUACUGGACAUCUCGAGGCACUCAGGGGCGAGCGGAACAAGUGGUGGAGCGGUGAAAUGCGUAGAUAUCUGGAGGAACACCGGUGGCGAAGGCGGCAUCCUGGACCAACACUGACGCUGAUGAGCGAAAGCCGGGGAGGCAAACGG
rnacentral:rRNA from 1 species